CGAUUUCCUCAUUUCAGUUGGAUGGACCAGUUGACUGUAAUACUGAUAAAAGAGCUGCUGCCCAAAGGGAGCAAGGAGGAACAGCGGGAUUACGUCUUCUACCUGGCCGUGGGGAACUACCGGCUCAAGGAAUACGAGAAGGCCUUAAAGUACGUCCGCGGGUUGCUGCAGACAGAGCCCCAGAACAACCAGGCCAAGGAACUGGAGCGGCUCAUUGACAAGGCCAUGAAGAAAGAUGGACUCGUGGGCAUGGCCAUCGUGGGAGGCAUGGCCCUGGGUGUGGCGGGACUGGCCGGACUCAUCGGACUUGCUGUGUCCAAGUCCAAAUCCUGAAGGAGGCGCGGGAGCCCACGGAGAACGCUCCAGGAGGGCCUGUCCAUCCUCGCUGUCCUUUCCCUGUUCUCCCCCUGCACCCCUGUCUCUAUCCUCUGUGGCCUUCAGCUAACUUCUGCUCCCCUGAGACUCGUCCUUCAGCCCCAUCAUGUGCUUUGGGAUGAGUGUAAAUAAAACGGGGCUGUGGCUUGGGAA
rnacentral:sRNA from 1 species